rnacentral:lncRNA from 10 species
CAAGGACAUGAGAUGCGGAUCAGGCCCAAGAGGCUGGAUGCCAAACCUAUCCUCUCCAUGUGAAGCACCAACUUGGGGGUGUCAACUAAAAAUAUGAGACCCGUAAACUUGGAAAGGAAGACUUUAUUUCUUGAGAAGGGUUGCAAACUGCAGGCUGGGAAGUGGCACCUCCAGCUGAGACCACAAACAGGGGACUUUCUCAAACUGGGGUAUUGACCUCUGAUGAACCGCCAUGCAAACCCGUGCCUUUCAACAUAAAAAGAAGCCCUUCGAGGUGCUCACCUUCAAGCUUGCUAGAGGAGGAGGAAGAGCAGGUUGAGUUUGACAUAACUAGAAUGGGUUGAGCCUUUCCAGCAGAGUAAGGUUCUUUCAUGGUGGACAGUGGCCACCCACUGCCAUUUCUACAAGAAGAUUUUGCUUCUUAGGCACUGAGUUCCUGGUUCUUUCACUAGAGAAAAAUGAGUAGGUUGGCAAUCCAGUACUUCCA